GAUGAACGCUGGCGGCGUGCCUAAUACAUGCAAGUCGAGCGAACGGACGAGAAGCUUGCUUCUCUGAUGUUAGCGGCGGACGGGUGAGUAACACGUGGAUAACCUACCUAUAAGACUGGGAUAACUUCGGGAAACCGGAGCUAAUACCGGAUAAUAUUUUGAACCGCAUGGUUCAAAAGUAAAAGACGGUCUUGCUGUCACUUAUAGAUGGAUCCGCGCUGCAUUAGCUAGUUGGUAAGGUAACGGCUUACCAAGGCAACGAUGCAUAGCCGACCUGAGAGGGUGAUCGGCCACACUGGAACUGAGACACGGUCCAGACUCCUACGGGAGGCAGCAGUAGGGAAUCUUCCGCAAUGGGCGAAAGCCUGACGGAGCAACGCCGCGUGAGUGAUGAANGUCUUCGGAUCGUNAAACUCUGUUAUUAGGGAAGAACAUAUGUGUAAGUAACUGUGCACAUCUUGACGGUACCCUAUCAGAAAGCCACGGCUAACUACGUGCCAGCAGCCGCGGUAAUACGUAGGUGGCAAGCGUUAUCCGGAAUUAUUGGGCGUAAAGCGCGCGUAGGCGGUUUUUUGAGUCUGAUGUGAAAGCCCACGGCUCAACCGUGGAGGGUCAUUGGAAACUGGAAAACUUGAGUGCAGAAGAGGAAAGUGGAAUUCCAUGUGUAGCGGUGAAAUGCGCAGAGAUAUGGAGGAACACCAGUGGCGAAGGCGACUUUCUGGUCUGUAACUGACGCUGAUGUGCGAAAGCGUGGGGAUCAAACAGGAUUAGAUACCCUGGUAGUCCACGCCGUAAACGAUGAGUGCUAAGUGUUAGGGGGUUUCCGCCCCUUAGUGCUGCAGCUAACGCAUUAAGCACUCCGCCUGGGGAGUACGACCGCAAGGUUGAAACUCAAAGGAAUUGACGGGGACCCGCACAAGCGGUGGGGCAUGUGGUUUAAUUCGAAGCAACGCGAAGAACCUUACCAAAUCUUGACAUCCUUUGACAACUCUAGAGAUAGAGCCUUCCCCUUCGGGGGACAAAGUGACAGGUGGUGCAUGGUUGUCGUCAGCUCGUGUCGUGAGAUGUUGGGUUAAGUCCCGCAACGAGCGCAACCCUUAAGCUUAGUUGCCAUCAUUAAGUUGGGCACUCUAAGUUGACUGCCGGUGACAAACCGGAGGAAGGUGGGGAUGACGUCAAAUCAUCAUGCCCCUUAUGAUUUGGGCUACACACGUGCUACAAUGGACAAUACAAAGGGCAGCGAAACCGCGAGGUCAAGCAAAUCCCAUAAAGUUGUUCUCAGUUCGGAUUGUAGUCUGCAACUCGACUACAUGAAGCUGGAAUCGCUAGUAAUCGUAGAUCAGCAUGCUACGGUGAAUACGUUCCCGGGUCU
rnacentral:rRNA from 1 species